rnacentral:rRNA from 1 species
GAUGAACGCUGGCGGUGUGCCUAAUACAUGCAAGUCGAGCGAACAGACGAGGAGCUUACUCCUCUGACGUUAGCGGCGGACGGGUGAGUAACACGUGGAUAACCUACCUAUAAGACUGGGAUAACUUCGGGAAACCGGAGCUAAUACCGGAUAACAUGUUGAACCGCAUGGUUCAACAGUGAAAGACGGCCUUGCUGUCACUUAUAGAUGGAUCCGCGUCGCAUUAGCUAGUUGGUAAGGUAACGGCUUACCAAGGCAACGAUGCGUAGCCGACCUGAGAGGGUGAUCGGCCACACUGGAACUGAGACACGGUCCAGACUCCUACGGGAGGCAGCAGUAGGGAAUCUUCCGCAAUGGGCGAAAGCCUGACGGAGCAACGCCGCGUGAGUGAAGAAGGUCUUCGGAUCGUAAAACUCUGUUAUUAGGGAAGAACAAAUGUGUAAGUAACUAUGCACGUCUUGACGGUACCUAAUCAGAAAGCCACGGCUAACUACGUG